rnacentral:tRNA from 1 species
GGAAGGGCCGUGGUUGAGUGGUAGAGCAUCUGUUUGGCAUGCGGAAGGCCCCGGGUUCAAUCCCCGACGUCUCCA